rnacentral:rRNA from 1 species
CCUACGGGUGGCUGCAGUGGGGAAUAUUGGACAAUGGGGGCAACCCUGAUCCAGCCAUGUCGCGUGUGUGAAGAAGGCCCUCGGGUUGUAAAGCACUUUCAGUGAGGAAGAACGCCUGGUGGUUAAUACCCAUCAGGAAAGACAUCACUCACAGAAGAAGCACCGGCUAACUCCGUGCCAGCAGCCGCGGUAAUACGGAGGGUGCGAGCGUUAAUCGGAAUUACUGGGCGUAAAGCGCGCGUAGGUGGCUUGAUAAGCCGGUUGUGAAAGCCCCGGGCUCAACCUGGGAACGGCAUCCGGAACUGUCAAGCUAGAGUGCAGGAGAGGAAGGUAGAAUUCCCGGUGUAGCGGUGAAAUGCGUAGAGAUCGGGAGGAAUACCAGUGGCGAAGGCGGCCUUCUGGACUGACACUGACACUGAGGUGCGAAAGCGUGGGUAGCAAACAGGAUUAGAUACCCCAGUAGUC